rnacentral:rRNA from 1 species
CCUGAGAAACCCAAAAGAUCGAAUGGGGAGAUUCAUCGUCAGCGAUUUUGGUACGUGUGCGGUUUCGCGAUGCCGGUCACUUCGGUUUCCUGGCACGCGUCCGCAUGUUUUUUAUUGCCUCGAUCGUCGGCGUGCACUUCUCCCCUAGUAGGACGUCGCGACCCGUUGGGUGUCGGUCUACGGCCCGGGUGGUAGCCUGUCUCGUGUGCGCUUCGCGGCGUUACGCGGUUCAGACCCCUGGUUGCCCGACCGGCUGCCCGGCGGUACUCGCACGGUAUCUGGCCGCAAAUAUUCGAACUGCGUCCGGCCCGUCGCAAGCGCGACAAGUGUUUCUCGGUUGUACGGAUCCAAUGCCGUCACCGGGCCUUGUCAGCUGUUGGUCGACGGUGUCCUAGGACUGGCUAAUACAAUUAUGAUACCGGUCGGCGACGCUACUGCUUUGGGUACUUUCAGGACCCGUCUUGAAACACGGA